GAUGAACGCUAGCUACAGGCUUAACACAUGCAAGUCGAGGGGCAGCAUGGUCUUAGCUUGCUAAGGCCGAUGGCGACCGGCGCACGGGUGAGUAACACGUAUCCAACCUGCCGUCUACUCUUGGACAGCCUUCUGAAAGGAAGAUUAAUACAAGAUGGCAUCAUGAGUCCACAUGUUCACAUGAUUAAAGGUAUUCCGGUAGACGAUGGGGAUGCGUUCCAUUAGAUAGUAGGCGGGGUAAUGGCCCACCUAGUCUUCGAUGGAUAGGGGUUCUGAGAGGAAGGUCCCCCACAUUGGAACUGAGACACGGUCCAAACUCCUACGGGAGGCAGCAGUGAGGAAUAUUGGUCAAUGGGCGAGAGCCUGAACCAGCCAAGUAGCGUGAAGGAUGACUGCCCUAUGGGUUGUAAACUUCUUUUAUAAAGGAAUAAAGUCGGGUAUGCAUACCCGUUUGCAUGUACUUUAUGAAUAAGGAUCGGCUAACUCCGUGCCAGCAGCCGCGGUAAUACGGAGGAUCCGAGCGUUAUCCGGAUUUAUUGGGUUUAAAGGGAGCGUAGAUGGAUGUUUAAGUCAGUUGUGAAAGUUUGCGGCUCAACCGUAAAAUUGCAGUUGAUACUGGAUAUCUUGAGUGCAGUUGAGGCAGGCGGAAUUCGUGGUGUAGCGGUGAAGUGCUUAGAUAUCACGAAGAACUCCGAUUGCGAAGGCAGCCUGCUAAGCUGCAACUGACAUUGAGGCUCGAAAGUGUGGGUAUCAAACAGGAUUAGAUACCCUGGUAGUCCACACGGUAAACGAUGAAUACUCGCUGUUUGCGAUAUACAGCAAGCGGCCAAGCGAAAGCGUUAAGUAUUCCACCUGGGGAGUACGCCGGCAACGGUGAAACUCAAAGGAAUUGACGGGGGCCCGCACAAGCGGAGGAACAUGUGGUUUAAUUCGAUGAUACGCGAGGAACCUUACCCGGGCUUAAAUUGCAGAUGAAUUACGGUGAAAGCCGUAAGCCGCAAGGCAUCUGUGAAGGUGCUGCAUGGUUGUCGUCAGCUCGUGCCGUGAGGUGUCGGCUUAAGUGCCAUAACGAGCGCAACCCUUGUUGUCAGUUACUAACAGGUUCCGCUGAGGACUCUGACAAGACUGCCAUCGUAAGAUGUGAGGAAGGUGGGGAUGACGUCAAAUCAGCACGGCCCUUACGUCCGGGGCUACACACGUGUUACAAUGGGGGGUACAGAGGGCCGCUACCACGCGAGUGGAUGCCAAUCCCAAAAACCUCUCUCAGUUCGGACUGGAGUCUGCAACCCGACUCCACGAAGCUGGAUUCGCUAGUAAUCGCGCAUCAGCCACGGCGCGGUGAAUACGUUCCCGGGCCU
rnacentral:rRNA from 1 species